rnacentral:lncRNA from 1 species
UCCAUAUUUUUUCUUAUUCUUUUAAAAUUUGUUUCUUUAUUUUUUGGUUGUAUUUUCUUAUCUUUUUCUUUGUUCUUUCUUCCUUUUUCUCAUAUGAUGGCCUUUCCAUGGGUGUGUGGAGCCUGAGAGUCAUUCUCUACCUGAUGACCACUGGUCCCUGCCUUUUGUGGGAGAGGACUUUGAGGAGCCGCAGGAUCCUCUCUCCCUUCACUUUACAUACAGUAUGAAGAUCCUGAGCUCCGCAGAGCCCUAUGAGAUGGUGCAGGAGAUGAGCCAGGUGACUCAAGCAGCUGCACAUGGGAGCGAUGCAACCAGCACAAUUUGCUGUGUGUACAGGGCAUGCCCUGCUGAGAGGGAUUUUGUAGAGAAGCAAUACAGGAAAUUGAUGCUCCAGGAAGACGCACCAUUAUUCUGCUGUUUUGCAUCCUUCCUGCCCAGAAAUGGGGCUGUGGGUACUCCAGUUUGAAAAGCAUGUAGUAGUACAGCACUUGGAGUUGAUCAGAAGAAGUAAAGAAAAAAAUGACUUAAGAGAAUUAUCAUGAUCCCCAUCAAAAGCAGCUAAUUAUUCAAAGUAGCAACUGAAGGAUUUUUAUAAAGGGAUAUUAAAAGUGGUUCUGAAC